UGAUCCUGGCUCAGAUUGAACGCUGGCGGCAGGCUUAACACAUGCAAGUCGAGCGGUAACAGAUCUAGCUUGCUAGAUGCUGACGAGCGGCGGACGGGUGAGUAAUGCAUAGGAAACUGCCCAGUAGUGGGGGAUAGCCCGGGGAAACCCGGAUUAAUACCGCGUACGCCCUUCGGGGGAAAGCAGGGGAUCUUCGGACCUUGCGCUAUUGGAUGUGCCUAUGUCGGAUUAGCUAGUUGGUGGGGUAAAGGCCUACCAAGGCGACGAUCCGUAGCUGGUCUGAGAGGAUGAUCAGCCACAUCGGGACUGAGACACGGCCCGAACUCCUACGGGAGGCAGCAGUGGGGAAUAUUGGACAAUGGGGGCAACCCUGAUCCAGCAAUGCCGCGUGUGUGAUGAAGGCCUUAGGGUUGUAAAGCACUUUCACUGGUGAAGAUGAUGACGGUAACCAGAGAAGAAGCCCCGGCUAACUUCGUGCCAGCAGCCGCGGUAAUACGAAGGGGGCGAGCGUUGUUCGGAAUUACUGGGCGUAAAGGGCGCGUAGGCGGUCUUUUAAGUUAGGCGUGAAAGCCCCGGGCUCAACCCGGGAACUGCGCUUAAGACUGGAAGACUAGAAAACGGAAGAGGGUAGUGGAAUUCCCAGUGUAGAGGUGAAAUUCGUAGAUAUUGGGAAGAACACCAGUGGCGAAAGCGGCUACCUGGUCCGAUUUUGACGCUGAGGCGCGAAAGCGUGGGGAGCAAACAGGAUUAGAUACCCUGGUAGUCCACGCCGUAAACGAUGUCUGCUAGAUGUCGGGGGGUUGCCCCUCGGUGUCGCCGCUAACGCAUUAAGCAGACCGCCUGGGAAGUACGGUCGCAAGAUUAAAACUCAAAGGAAUUGACGGGGGCCCGCACAAGCGGUGGAGCAUGUGGUUUAAUUCGAAGCAACGCGCAGAACCUUACCAGUCCUUGACAUGGGGAGUUUGGUUUCCGGAGACGGAUUCCUUCAGUUCGGCUGGCUCCCACACAGGUGCUGCAUGGCUGUCGUCAGCUCGUGUCGCGAGAUGUUGGGUUAAGUCCCGCAACGAGCGCAACCCUCAUCUUUAGUUGCCAUCAGUUAGGCUGGGCACUCUAGAGAAACUGCCUGCGAUGAGCAGGAGGAAGGCGGGGAUGACGUCAAGUCCUCAUGGCCCUUAUGGACUGGGCUACACACGUGCUACAAUGGCGGUGACAGUGGGAAGCGAUAGGGCGACCGGAGCAAAUCCCCAAAAGCCGUCCCAGUUCGGAUUGUACUCUGCAACUCGAGUGCAUGAAGUUGGAAUCGCUAGUAAUCGUGGAUCAGCAUGCCACGGUGAAUACGUUCCCGGGCCUUGUACACACCGCCCGUCACGCCAUGGGAAUUGGUUCUACCCGAAUGCGGUGAGCUAACCUGCUUGCAGGAGGCAGCCGACCACGGUAGGGUCAGUGACUGGGGUGAAGUCGUAACAAGGUAACC
rnacentral:rRNA from 1 species